UGGGGAAUUUUCCGCAAUGGGCGCAAGCCUGACGGAGCAAUACCGCGUGAGGGAGGAAGGCUUUUGGGUUGUAAACCUCUUUUAUUAAGGAAGAAGAAAGUGACGGUACUUAAAGAAUCAGCAUCGGCUAACUCCGUGCCAGCAGCCGCGGUAAUACGGAGGAUCCAAGCGUUAUCCGGAAUCAUUGGGUUUAAAGGGUCCGUAGGCGGGAUUAUAAGUCAGUGGUGAAAGUUUUCGGCUCAACCGAGAAAUUGCCAUUGAUACUGUAGUUCUUGAAUUAUUAGGAAGUGGUUAGAAUGUGUAGUGUAGCGGUGAAAUGCAUAGAUAUUACACAGAAUACCGAUUGCGAAGGCAGAUCACUACUAGUAUAUUGACGCUAAGGGACGAAAGCGUGGGUAGCGAACAGGAUUAGAUACCCCCGUAGUCC
rnacentral:rRNA from 1 species